rnacentral:rRNA from 1 species
GAACGCCCCGCAAGGGGAGUGGCAGACGGGUGAGUAACACGUGGGAACGUCCCCCUCGGUUCGGAAUAACUCAGGGAAACUUGAGCUAAUACCGGAUACGUCCGAGAGGAGAAAGAUUUAUCGCCGAGGGAUCGGCCCGCGUCUGAUUAGCUAGUUGGUGGGGUAACGGCCCACCAAGGCUACGAUCAGUAGCUGGUCUGAGAGGAUGAUCAGCCUCACUGGGACUGAGACACGGCCCAGACUCCUACGGGAGGCAGCAGUGGGGAAUAUUGGACAAUGGGCGCAAGCCUGAUCCAGCCAUGCCGCGUGGGUGAUGAAGGCCCUAGGGUUGUAAAGCCCUUUCGGCGGGGAAGAUAAUGACGGUACCCGCAGAAGAAGCCCCGGCUAACUUCGUG